rnacentral:rRNA from 1 species
AUUGAACGCUGGCGGCAGGCUUAACACAUGCAAGUCGAACGAGUGGCGGACGGGUGAGUAAUGCUUGGGAAUCUAGCUUAUGGAGGGGGAUAACUACGGGAAACUGUAGCUAAUACCGCGUACCAUAGGAUGAGCCCAAGUGGGAUGAGGUAGUUGGUGAGGUAAAGGCUCACCAAGCCGACAAUCUCUAGCUGGGCUGAGAGGAUGGCCAGCCACACUGGGACAGAGACACAGCCCAGACUCCUACGGGAGGCAGCAGUGGGGAAUAUUGCGCAAUGGGGGCAACCUGACGCAGCCAUGCCGCGUGAAUGAAGAAGGCCUUCGGGUUGUAAAGUUCUUUCGGUAGCGAGGCGUUAACUACAGAAGAAGCACCGGCUAACACCGUGCCUGCAGCCGCGGUAAUAC